AACGAACGCUGGCGGCAUGCCUAACACAUGCAAAUCGAACGAGACCUUCGGGUCUAGUGGCGCACGGGUGCGUAACGCGUGGGAACCUGCCCUUAGGUUCGGAAUAACUCCCCGAAAGGGGUGCUAAUACCGGAUAAUGUCUUCGGACCAAAGAUUUAUCGCCUUUGGAUGGGCCCGCGUUGGAUUAGCUAGUUGGUAGGGUAAAAGCCUACCAAGGCGACGAUCCAUAGCUGGUCUGAGAGGAUGAUCAGCCACACUGGGACUGAGACACGGCCCAGACUCCUACGGGAGGCAGCAGUGGGGAAUAUUGGACAAUGGGCGAAAGCCUGAUCCAGCAAGGCCGCGUGAGUGAUGAAGGCCUUAGGGUUGUAAAGCUCUUUUACCCGGGAUGAAAUGACAGUACCGGGAGAAUAAGCUCCGGCUAACUCCGUG
rnacentral:rRNA from 1 species